UGUAGCCAAUGAUGAUACAAGUUAUCCCUGUCUGAACUGAAGUGUGGAGUUGUGGUAACCUGAGGCUCAG
rnacentral:snoRNA from 13 species